CCGAAUUGUCGACACGAGCUGUUGCUGGUCCUCAAAUGGGGGCAUGUGCACGCUCUGUUUACACAUCCAUCCACUCACACCCCGUGCACCCUCUGUAGUUCUGUGACAUGGGGGACUCUGUCCUCCUGUUGUGGCUCUACGUUUUUACACGCACUCUGUAACAAAGUAUGACGGAAUGUAUGCCGCGUUUAACGCAAUACAAUA
rnacentral:misc_RNA from 1 species